rnacentral:lncRNA from 1 species
AUGUUCACAAUCUUGGGCUCGCAGCCGCACCGCACGCAGGAGCAGGAGAAUAACGCGGCCAGCAGAAGCAGACGCAUCGUGUGGAGGGCUAGAAGAGCGCACGGAGAGCCCCAGUGUCCUCCCUUCUUAUUGCUGCCGGAGGCUCGUGUUUUGAGCUAUUCGCUUGUUAAAAAUGAAAAGCAAAUGUCCAGUGUGGCAAUUGAAGACUUUAAAAAAAUCCCAGGGACGAAAUACACACAAGCUGUGGCGAUCUGUUCAUGGUGCCUGGUUCAUUCAGGCGAUGGGAUUUGAGAGAACCGGCAUUCACUGCAACCUUUCUCUUAAUUCCUCCUGUUAAGUCAGGCUGCAGACAGGCAGAGCAAGAAAGUCGCAUACUACAUGAAGCCUGGCAGUAGAAAUCAGUGAUGCGUCUCGUGUCGUCCGCCUCUCUGCGCGUCAGCUGUUGUUCUGCGGCGGAGCGCUGUCCUUGGUGCUGACAGCUGUGCGCGCUCUUUUACGCGCGCCCCCGCACCUCCUCCAGUUUUUCGCGUUGGCGUCCCGCAAGUAUUAAAACGCUCCGAUAUCACAAACAAUCCAAGCGUGAAAUUAAAAAGCUAGAAUUGAUUUUCCAUUUGGAGCGAAUUGGGUGUUCGUUUGUUUGUUUUUUUAAGCAUAAACGAGUAGAUAAAAAAUAUGGUUUUUACAGUCUAGUGUCGACCAUUUAUCGACACAUUCCAGUGUUUCUAACGCAUUUAAUCCCAUCUAUACCAUUUUCUUUUUAAUUUAAUGGGUCUUAUAAGAGUUGCUGAUGUACUGAUAGUUCUCAACUGUAAAUUAAAGUGUUGAUUUCAUGUGAACAUUUUUACAUAAACAGAGUUGUUGUUUAAAAUAAUGGCGAAACAUGCAUAAUACAGAUACAGCUAUUAUAUCUGGUAAUAUUUGAAGGGUCUAUUAUUGAUGUAGUAAAACUGCACAAAAAAUGGUAACAAGGUUCCCAAUGUAAGUAAACAUGUCAUUGAUCAAAUCUUUGAAAGGCCCAUUUUGAAUAAGUAACUGAUUUAUUCAUGUUAUAAAACUGUAGAUCUCAAAGUACUGUUAAAUUAAAUGAGGCAAAAGUGAUUUUUUUAUUGGGUUAUUAUUGGAUUAUAUAAUGCAACUUUCUAUGAGGGAUAAUUGUGCAACUGAGCAAUAUUGAUAGCAAUUGUGACCCUGAAUAAAACACAUAAUUUCAUUUAUCUUCUUCUUCUUCUUUGUUCCAUCCAAGAGGUAAAAUGCAUGAGCUCUCCUAGAAACUGUGGGAUUAAAUGCAUUAAAAAAACGUGAGUUAAGGCAUGGUCAAAUUGAGAUUUUUCCUUAUGUUGUUUCUGAAAACAGUGUUUAUAAAAAUAUAUAUAUAUAAACAUAUAGAAAAAGGUGUAUUGCUAAAUGACAGGCCCUUAUAGAAAAUUAAGGUUCUUCAAGACACUGCAAAGAAACCUCUUGUCAAGCUGUAUUUUGAUGACUGUAUUGGUUUCUUUAAAGCACCAACACAUAGAUGGUUGUCUAAUGUUCUCCCUGACUGUAAAUUAAAACCUUUUUGACUCUGUUUGAAACCUUUAUUUUUAGCUCACCUUCUUCUAGCAUAGCCUCCCACCCAAAAAGACUGACUUAAGACGGCUAAAUGUUACCUCCAAUUCUCAAAGUCGUAUUUUAAGGACUGAUGUUCAAUUAUGUAAGCACACCAUCUAUAUUUCAGCAUUUUCAAUCAUGAAAUCACUUGUUCCAUUUCUAAAACCUAGACUUUAAAAGUAAUUACUUAAAGUGGCAGGUCUGAGAGGUCUGCCCGCUUCUCUGAGCAUCAGCUUUAAGUGCUGUGUGUUUUCAAAUGGCAGCAGUGCAAACCCUUCAUUUUUGCUUUAUUUUCAAAGAUGCGUGUCCUAGUGCAUGUCAAAGCUCCAUACAAGAGCAUUGCUUUGUGGGAAAAAAGGGUAGCGCUCUCUAUGCAGGUGCAUGUGCUGAGCAGUAUUAUGCACUGGUAGGCACAUAAGGACAAAAGGGUAAAAAAAAUGGUUACCAAGGAAACAAGCCUCUCUCCUGAAGUGUGAAGUUUCAAAGUAUUCACAUGUAGGCAUUUUGUACGCACUGGCAAAUCAGGGUGUUAAUGAGACGAAGUGACAGUAGUGC